AUAAAGCAUUGGCUCAGUAAUUUGGAGAUGGUUCGGAUUCAAAGUAUCAGAUGAGCAACAAAAUCACGUUAUAUGUAGGCAGUGCCAUAAAAAAAGUUACAGCCAGGGGUGGAAGCACUACAAAUCUUUUUCACCACCUAAAACAGUGGCACAAACUGCAAUACGAAGAGUGUGUGAAACUACGCGCUGCAGAAGCCCCAGCCGCCGAAACCCGAAAAAGCUCCAGCCCCGAAACAAAGCUCACUGCAAACUUCAUUUUCCCGCAGUGUGCCUUAUGAAAAGAAAAUUGGCAAGUGGUGUACUAUAACUAAAGCGGUGUCCUAUCACAUUGGUAAAGAUAUGGUCCCUGUUGCAACUGUGGAACAAGUCGGAUUCAAAAAGCUACUGAAAACUAUGGACCCGAGAUAUGAGCUUCCCAGUCGCAACUACUUUGCACGAGAAGCACUGCCACAAAUGUACACUGAAGUCAGGCACCUUAUGGAGCUUUGAUUUCAAAAAAGCCCUAACCUGAGCCCUGGGACCACGUCUCAGGACUACCUGGCCUGAUCACUCCUUGCUGUCCCCAGUCCACCUGGUCAUGCUGCUGCUCCAGUUUCAACCGUUCUGCCUGCGGCUACGGAACCCUGACCUGUUCACCGGACGUACUACCUUGUCCCAGACCUGACAUUUACUCCUGAGAUGCUGACCUGUUGCACCCUCUUGAACCACUGUGAUUAUUAUUAUUUGAGCCUGCUGGUCAUCUAUGAACGUUUGCCCAUGUACUGUUAUAAUCUCCACCCGGCACAGCCAGAAGAGGACUGGAUACCCCUCAGAGCCUGGUUCCUCUAGGUUCCUGCCUUUCUAGGGAGUUUUUCCUAGCCACCGUGCAUCUGCAUUGCUUGCUGUUUGGGGUUUUAGGCUGGGUUUCUGUACAGCACUUUGACAUCGGCUGAUGUUGAAAGGGCUUAAUGAAUAAAAUUUGAUUGCAUACGGCCGAGUACAUCAUUGAGUAGAAGCUUACUGCCAUCCAGGAUCUACUGUAUAUACUAGGCGGUGUCAGAGGAAGAGCAAAAAAAAUGGUCUAAGACUCCAGUCACAUUGUAAAGUAUGUCAUUUCAAUAGUGUUGCGAUAUCAGAUGUCAUGGAGUAACAAACUUUAAGAUGGAUUUGAUACUAUCUCUGCAAAAGGC
rnacentral:lncRNA from 1 species